AUAUUUGAGUGAUCAAAAAGUAUCUGAGAUAAAUAUUAUUGUGAAAUAUCCGAGACCCUUGUUUAUAUUUUGAAUAUGAUGAAGGGACAAAUACAAGCAGCACGAGAAAGGUUAGGAGGUUUCAGCAAUAACAGUUACUAUUCUAGUUCGUCAGACCAUGUAUCUGACAUUCAACGUAUCGUUCCAAUCUCGCAUUACGAAUUGCAAUUGGAUGAUCCUGCGGUUGCAACCGAAGUCGAUAAUAAAGUUAAAACUAAAUUGCUCUCUAUAUGGAAUAAUGUUAAAUAUGGAUGGACUGUAAAAAUAAAAACAAAUUUUUCUAAAGAAUCUCCGGUAUGGUUGCUAGGACAAAGAUAUCCCAAACAAUUGGAAGAUACUUUAGAAAAAGCUUCGGAAGCUCUUUCUGGAUUAGGAACUGGCAGCGAAGUUUCCCUGGCAAUAGAUGCUGCAACUUACGAAGAAGGAAUAGAAGGAUUUAAAAGAGAUUUUGUUUCACGGCUAUGGCUUACUUAUAGAAGAGAAUUUCCUAAUUUAAGAGGUUCCACUUUCACUACCGAUUGUGGCUGGGGUUGUAUGUUACGAAGCGGUCAGAUGAUGAUGGCGCAAGCAUUAGUUUAUCAUUUUCUAGGCCGAGAUUGGAGGUGGAAUCCUGAUGAAACUGUUGAAACGGAUGAAGAGAUGAAACAUCGUAUGAUUGUAAAAUGGUUCGGAGAUCAACCCGGACCUUAUUCUCCUCUUUCUAUUCAUAAACUUGUAUCGCUCGGUGCGCAAUCAGGAAAACAAAUAGGGGAUUGGUACGGGCCUGGAUCAGUCGCGCAUAUUUUAAGCCAAGCAGUAAAAUCUGCCGCUGAGAUACACAGAGAGUUUAACAAUUUGUGUGUUUACGUUGCUCAAGAUUGCGCAGUUUACUUGGACGAUGUGAAAAAGUUAUGCGAAGCAUCAGAUGGAAGCUGGAGAUCUCUCGUAUUACUAGUACCGUUAAGACUUGGUACAGAUAAGUUAAAUCCGAUGUAUAUACCGUAUUUGACUAAGCUGUUGGAAUUAGAGUUUUGCAUUGGUAUCAUUGGUGGACGUCCUAGACAUUCGCUUUACUUCAUUGGUUAUCAGGAAGAUAAGUUGAUACAUUUAGAUCCUCAUUAUUGUCAAGAAAGUGUUGAUAUGUCGAAAGAAAUGUUUUCCUUGUCAACAUUCCAUUGUACCUCGCCUAGAAAAAUGCUACUUUCCAAAAUGGAUCCCAGCUGUUGCAUCGGUUUUUACAUAUACGAUAAAAACUCUUUUGACGAAUUUAUAACAAAGAUCGAAACCAUAUUUAUGUCUCAAAGUCAGAAAGCGGAUUAUCCAAUGUUUUUAUUUUGCGAAGGAAGCGGAGAGGAGUUGCAAGAAAACAUAGAGGUUGGUGAAAAUCCAUUGCCCUCGACAUUGUUUGUACGACCUGGUGCAUUCGAAGAUCAUUAUGAGUUUGAGGAAUUUGAACUCAUAUGUAUAGGAAAUAAAAGCGAAUAGAAAAGGGAUUGCGAUGUACUUAUAAAUACUUGAAAUGUAUUAAUCACACAAAGUAAAGUAAUGCGCGCUAACUAAGAAAAAACAUGGCGAAUAUUUUGAAGAAGAUCUCUAUCUCUCAUGGUAUGUACGUCUUACAAUUGCAGACUGAUGUCAAUGCGUUGACUAAAUUAUAUAUUUAAGUAUGUACAAAAAAUGUGCAGAAAAGAUAGAAGUUUAAACCAAACAUCUAUUUCUGUGACGGUUAUUAAGAUACUAAUGCAAUAUGAUCUUUAAUAAGUAUUCAAAGCGAAGGCACAAUUUUUUUUACAUUUUGUUAUCUGAUCUCGAGAUCGUUGCUAUUUGUUUUUUUUUUGUUCAUAUAUGUACAUAUAUU
rnacentral:misc_RNA from 1 species